rnacentral:tRNA from 1 species
GCCCCGGUGGCUUAGUCUGGUUAAAGCGCCUGCUUGGUAAGCAGGAGAUCGCGGGUUCAACUCCCGCCCGGGGCU